rnacentral:rRNA from 1 species
GACGAACGCUGGCGGCGUGCUUAACACAUGCAAGUCGAACGGAAAGGCCCUGCUUUUGUGGGGUGCUCGAGUGGCGAACGGGUGAGUAACACGUGAGUAACCUGCCCUUGACUUUGGGAUAACUUCAGGAAACUGGGGCUAAUACCGGAUAGGAGCUCCUGCUGCAUGGUGGGGGUUGGAAAGUUUCGGCGGUUGGGGAUGGACUCGCGGCUUAUCAGCUUGUUGGUGGGGUAGUGGCUUACCAAGGCUUUGACGGGUAGCCGGCCUGAGAGGGUGACCGGCCACAUGGGGACUGAGGUACGGCCCAGACUCCUACGGGAGGCAGCAGUGGGGAAUAUUGCACAAUAGGCGGAAGCCUGAUGCAGCAACGCCGCGUGCGGGAUGACGGCCUUCGGGUUGUAAACCGCUUUCGCCUGUGACGAAGCGUGAGUGACGGUAAUGGGUAAAGAAGCACCGGCUAACUACGUG